rnacentral:rRNA from 1 species
UCGGGAACUCUGAGACAGGUGCUGCAUGGCUGUCGUCAGCUCGUGUUGUGAAAUGUUGGGUUAAGUCCCGCAACGAGCGCAACCCUUAUCCUUUGUUGCCAGCGGUUAGGCCGGGAACUCAAAGGAGACUGCCAGUGAUAAACUGGAGGAAGGUGGGGAUGACGUCAAGUCAUCAUGGCCCUUACGAGUAGGGCUACACACGUGCUACAAUGGCGCAUACAAAGAGAAGCGACCUCGCGAGAGCAAGCGGACCUCAUAAAGUGCGUCGUAGUCCGGAUUGGAGUCUGCAACUCGACUCCAUGAAGUCGGAAUCGCUAGUAAUCGUGGAUCAGAAUGCCACGGUGAAUACGUUCCCGGGCCUUGUACACACCGCCCGUCACACCAUGGGAGUGGGUUGCAAAAGAAGUAGGUAG